GGAGGAGGGGACAGGAAGUGGGGCAGGAUAGGAGCCAUUUCUCUGCAGGGAUCGACCUCCCCGCUCGCCGCUCCCAUUUACCCAGAAUCCAGGGGACGCCUGCCUGGGAGUGAACCAUGCUCGAUAUUUUCAUCUUGAUGUUCUUUGCCAUCAUAGGCCUGGUGGUUCUGUCCUACAUUAUCUAUCUACUCUAGUGACCUGGAGUUGUGGCCUGGAAGCUGCUGGGGCUACGAGGGGAAGGAUGGAGCUGAAGGGUCGAGCAUCCUGCUUGCUGACGCACUGGAGAAAUUUGCUUCUGGUCCUUAUUUCGGCUCCUGUCUUCAGUCCAACAAGAGGGCUCUUACCAACAGCAGCAGUCCUGCUGCCCAGCUGACUUCUUCCACAGCAUCUGGAUGUGGUUAACCCCUGGCAAGCAGGGACUUUGUGAAGCAGAGACACUCCCCUGGAACAUCAGGAGUUCAUGAAUGCUACUGGAGAUGCUGAGUGUGUUUGAGCGGUAGACAGUAUGUUGAGAAUACAGAAAGUUGAAAUGUAGAUGCAUUAAAGGCUCCACGGAGAACUGCCAAACAUUCAUGUGGGUAGCCUUUCCUUAGGUCUAAAUACAACUGCGCAUGAUGCUGAAAUAUGUUCUUUCUUUUCUGUUUCAUAGGCAGCUGUUCCCUUGUAAGUUCAAGGGCAAGUUCAAGUUGUCAGUCUUAUCAAUGUUUUUAUGAAUUGCACAAUCUAAGGUUGUGUGGUUUUCCUUCUCUCGAUCUCCAGUCAAAAGAAACAUGCCAUUUAAGUUUUAUUUAAGUUUUCAUUUCUUCCCUCCUCAUCCUACUUGUCUUCAGCUUCUCAUUUGAAACAUGAAGUAUUUAUAAAGUUCUCAUUAUUUGUACCUAAUUAUAAAUUAUUGAAACAAAACAGAUAUACGUAUUUAGGAAAGAAAAUUUACCCCAAAAGGGUUUAAAAACAUUUUUAAAAAUUGUCAAAUGUUCCUUUUCUGUGAGAAAAACUAUUAACAUAUAUCCCUGUCCAGUUAGGGUUGAAGAAACUAUAUUUUGGGAUUCAGAGUAGAUUUGGCCCCAAAUCUGUGGUGUUUGUCUAUUCUUUUGAAGAACCCAUCAUAAUUGUUCAACAUUUGAUUUUCUUUUCUACCUUAAAAAUAAACAAGGACAAAGUAAA